rnacentral:rRNA from 1 species
GAUGAACGCUGGCGGCGUGCCUAAUACAUGCAAGUCGAGCGAACGGACGAGAAGCUUGCUUUUCUGAUGUUAGAGGCGGACGGGUGAGUAACACGUGGAUAACCUACCUAUAAGACUGGGAUAACUUCGGGAAACCGGAGCUAAUACCGGAUAAUAUUUUGAACCGCAUGGUUCAAAAGUGAAAGACGGUCUUGCUGUCACUUAUAGAUGGAUCCGCGCUGCAUUAGCUAGUUGGUAAGGUAACGGCUUACCAAGGCAACGAUGCAUAGCCGACCUGAGCGGGUGAUCGGCCACACUGGAAGUGAGACACGGUCCAGACUCCUACGGUGGGCAGCAGUAGGGAAUCUUCCGCAAUGGGCGAAAGCCUGACGGAGCAACGCCGCGUGAGGGAUGAAGGUCUUCGGAUCGUAAAACGCUGUUAUUAGGGAAGAACAUAUGUGUAAGUAACUGUGCACAUCUUGACGGUACCUAAUCAGAAAGCCACGGCUAACUACGUG